UGGGUUUACCUCUAUAUAUUUAAAGGGGAUUUUUCGGUUCACCGAGCGGCGCCGAUUAUUAGCUAGGCCGCCGCUGCGGAUGAGGUCUAGUCGCGCCCGUGUAUUUAACCCGGACUUCGCUUAGAACCGUUUUUCAUUAGCCAGUGACCAAUAUUCCGACAGUCGUUCGCGGUUUGGCGCAAUCAAUUCGUUUUACUAGUUUCAAAAUUAAAUCGGCAAACAAAUAAAAUCGCUGGUUUUCCG